rnacentral:rRNA from 1 species
UAGGGAAUCUUCGGCAAUGGGGGGAACCCUGACCGAGCAACGCCGCGUGAGUGAAGAAGGUUUUCGGAUCGUAAAGCUCUGUUGUUAAGGAAGAACGAGUGUGAGAAUGGAAAGUUCAUGCUGUGACGGUACUUAACCAGAAAGGGACGGCUAACUACGUGCCAGCAGCCGCGGUAAUACGUAGGUCCCGAGCGUUGUCCGGAUUUAUUGGGCGUAAAGCGAGCGCAGGCGGUUAGAAAAGUCUGAAGUGAAAGGCAGUGGCUCAACCAUUGUAGGCUUUGGAAACUGUUUAACUUGAGUGCAGAAGGGGAGAGUGGAAUUCCUUGUGUAGCGGUGAAAUGCGUAGAUAUAUGGAGGAACACCGGUGGCGAAAGCGGCUCUCUGGUCUGUAACUGACGCUGAGGCUCGAAAGCGUGGGGAGCGAACAGG